UACGUAGGGACCGAGCGUUGUCCGGAAUCAUUGGGCGUAAAGAGCGUGUAGGCGGCUUGCUAAGUCUUGCGUGAAAUCUCGGGGCUCAACCCCAAGCGGUCGUGGGAAACUGGCAGGCUAGAGUGCGGGAGAGGAGAAUGGAAUUCCUGGUGUAGCGGUGAAAUGCGCAGAUAUCAGGAAGAACACCCGUGGCGAAGGCGGUUCUCUGGAACGCAACUGACGCUGAGACGCGAAAGCGUGGGGAGCAAACAGG
rnacentral:rRNA from 1 species